UUUCUCAGUGGUAUCAUUUUCUUCUUGGUGUAUUAGAAGAAGCAUGUAGAAGUUGGUAGGCGGUAAGAAUCUUGACACAUCUCGCGAUUUGCCAUGGACACCACGUCAAAGAUCACUAUUAUUCUGUAGAAUGUGGUUCUGCUUCAGCAAAAGAUCUACACUUCGUGAAACAUUCGCUUUACAACUGAGUAACCAUCCCCUCUGAUAUUAGGAAACAAGAAAAAAAGAAUUAUUAAUUUGUCAGUCCUGUGUAAAGAAUAAUAAUGAUGGAGAUACCAUCUGACAUUGGCAUAAAGCUUCACAGAACUAUCGCUUACAGAACCUCAUGGCCCCAUCAUCUCUGGGAAUUAGAUAGAUGAAACAAAAGAGAACACAACGCAGCAAAGAAUUUCAGUGUAUGUUGAAUAUCACUCAGGUCCUGUUGAUAAAGACACCUAUCACAGGAGCAGAUAAUCCUGGGAUUUGGGGGCAGGUACAUGAAAGGCUCUAUGAUAACGCUGCCGGUGGGUGCUCUUGGGGUCAGAAGAUGUGGAGGCCAGCCCUGACCUCUCCUGACCUAGCCAUCCACUCUACGCUUGACAGCCGAAUUCUCACCGUCACAUCUUUACAAUGGAGAUCACCAUUCCUGUUUUAGGUGGUAUUUGGGGAAAAUUAAAUUCAGCAUCUAAAUGAAAAUACCUAAUAUACUGUAAAAUGGCACAUAAACGUAAGAUAGCACUAUGACUAAUAAUACCUGAAUUUUAAUGCGAAAGACCAUGCUAAGAUUGUAGCGUACAAAUUCAAACAAUACAAAACGUUGUAAAAGUGAGUAGCAAGAAUAAAAUAGGCUAUCAUUUUAAUUUUUAUUUCAUAUGUUUUUAAAAAUAUAAUACAGAUGCUAUUUAUACUGGGGGAGCAGCAAAACAUCUGUACCUAUUCUUAAAGAUUCAUUUACAUCUCCUACUCCUGCUUCUCAGGCAAAACACAAAAUGUUCAUCUCCUACUUGCUAGACGGAACACAUAGAUGUUAAUAGCGUUAUUUGUUUUUAGUGUUUAUUUAUUU